AUCCUGAGGGGAAAAAAUUAUUAUUUAGGUUGGUGCAAAAGUAAUUGGGGUUUUUGCCAUUACCUUUAACGUCAAUUACGUUUGCACUGACCUAAUAUAUUACAUGUCUUCAAGUCAACUC
rnacentral:precursor_RNA from 8 species